UCCCCGUUACCGGGGCAGUCUGGCUAGAAAAAUACAACUAACCAUAAGGGUUGCGCUCGUUGAUGGACUUAACCAAACAUCUCACGACACGAGCUGAAGACGGCCAUGCAACACCUGUCACUGGGUUCCCGAAGGCACUCACGUCUUUCGACAUAAUUCCCAGGAUGUCAAACCUUGGUAAGGUUCUUCGCUUACCAUCGAAUUAAACAACACGCUCCACCGCUUGUGCGGGUCCCCGUCAAUUCCUUUGAGUUUUAGCCUUGCGGCCGUACUCCCCAGGCGGGGCGCUUAAUGCGUUAGCUACGGCACGGAUCCCGUGGAAGGAAACCCACACCUAGCACCCAUCGUUUACGGCGUGGACUAC
rnacentral:misc_RNA from 1 species